UUUUUAUAAGUUUCCUUCCACAUGCUUAAUGAGCUCUUGAUUACAUUAUUCUCUCAUUCUUCAAGAGGAUUUUUCCUCAAAUCUAAACAUACAUAAAUAAUUUGCAUAAAUAAUUAGUUGAUUGAAAAAAAUAUUUUCCUUUUCUCUUUUCUUUCUUUUUGAAAUUUAUUUAUAUUUUCUUCUAUAUUCUCCAAGAGAUUUUUUUCUCAAUCUUCUCUUCUUUUCUCUCAAAUAUAUAUAUUUCUUUUCAUCUCUCUCC
rnacentral:lncRNA from 1 species